ACGCUCGACACCUACGGGAUGCAGCAGUGGGGAAUAUUGCACAAUGGGGGAAACCCUGAUGCAGCGACGCCGCGUGAGCGAAGAAGUAUUUCGGUAUGUAAAGCUCUAUCAGCAGGGAAGAUCAUGACGGUACCUGACUAAGAAGCUCCGGCUAAAUACGUGCCAGCAGCCGCGGUAAUCUGAGCGGGCUGGCAAGGC
rnacentral:rRNA from 1 species